rnacentral:rRNA from 1 species
GAUCGAGUCGAGUGGUCCACCUAACGGUGUGUUUACUGCUCUGGCUGGGUCUUGUCUCUUGGUGAACCGGGGUGCCCUUUGUUGGGUGUUUCGGGGAACCAGGACGUUUACCUUGAGAAAAUUAGAGUGUUCAAAGCAGGCUUAUGCCUGGAUACAUUAGCAUGGAAUAAUGAAAUAGGACGUGUGGUUCUAUUUUGUUGGUUUCUAGAAUCGCCGUA